GCCCCCGUAGCUCAGUGGAUAGAGCACAGGAUUCCUAAUCCUGGUGCCGCAGGUCCGAUUCCUGCCGGGGGCACCA
rnacentral:tRNA from 2 species